UUUUUUUAACAUAUGAUUUGAUUUUUUUUGUCUCCAUCCUUAAGAUUUUUAUUUUAAGGACAGCAACGCAGAGAAAAACACAGCCAGCCCCUCUCUAACUGCAUUAACUCCGUUACAGGCCAGAGGACGUGCGCAUUUCUAGGUAUGGAGUGUGACAAUAACAAUGACUUUGACAUCGCAAGCGUGAAAGCACUGGACAAUAAGCUGUGCUCUGAGGUCUGCUUACCUGGUGCCUGGCAGGCUGAUGACAAUGCCGUCAGUCGGAAUGCCCAGCGCCGGCGCUUGUCAUCCAGCAGCCUGGAGGACUCUGAGACGAGGCCCUGUGUGUGGGGCCCUUUGGCUGUCUGAGCCCCAGCCUCUGCACUUGGGCUCCCCUCCUGCCCUGCAUUCCAUCCAUCCUCACUCAGCUGCUGCCUACUGGGCAUCCUCAGCAAGAUGCUGGAGACUUUUUACCCUCCUGUGACAGCUGUUACAACCUGUAACCACAAUCCCUCACCUCUCAGAGGGAACUGGAACCCUCCUUUCUCCGUGUGACCUAAAGCCACUCAAUGAACUGCAGCUCACGAGA
rnacentral:lncRNA from 1 species